rnacentral:rRNA from 1 species
UACAGAGGUCCCAAGCGUUGUUCGGAUUCAUUGGGCGUAAAGGGUGCGUAGGCGGCGCGGUAAGUCGGGUGUGAAAUUUCGGAGCUUAACUCCGAAACUGCAUUCGAUACUGCCGUGCUUGAGGACUGGAGAGGAGAUUGGAAUUCACGGUGUAGCAGUGAAAUGCGUAGAUAUCGUGAGGAAGACCAGUGGCGAAGGCGGAUCUCUGGACAGUUCCUGACGCUGAGGCGCGAAGGCCAGGGGAGCAAACGGG